rnacentral:rRNA from 1 species
UACGGAGGGGGCUAGCGUUGUUCGGAAUUACUGGGCGUAAAGCGCACGUAGGCGGCUUUGUAAGUUAGAGGUGAAAGCCCAGGGCUCAACCCUGGAAUUGCCUUUAAGACUGCAUCGCUUGAACAUCGGAGAGGUAAGUGGAAUUCCGAGUGUAGAGGUGAAAUUCGUAGAUAUUCGGAAGAACACCAGUGGCGAAGGCGACUGACUGGACGAUUGUUGACGCUGAGGUGCGAAAGCGUGGGGAGCAAACAGG